UACGGGGGGGGCAAGCGUUGUUCGGAAUUACUGGGCGUAAAGGGCUCGUAGGCGGCCAACUAAGUCAUACGUGAAAUCCCUCAGCUUAACUGGGGAACUGCGUGUGAUACUGGAUGGCUUGGAUUUGGGAGAGGGAUGCGGAAUUCCAGGUGUAGCGGUGAAAUGCGCAGAUAUCAGGAAGAACACCCGUGGCGAAGGCGGCUCUCUGGGACGGUACUGACGCUGAGACGCGAAAGCGUGGGGAGCGAACAGG
rnacentral:rRNA from 1 species